GAAAGUAAUUUGGAUGGGUGACUUUGCGGUAAGGAUUUGGGUGACUGGCCAGAGAGGAGAGUUGAGACCACAGCUUGAUAAUUAAUAUCAUCCUUAGCUUUCUCAGCUAUAGCAAAAAGAGCUGAAUCGAAAGUCAAUGCGGAAUUGAUCUGGAUGGCGGCAAGCCACACUUCCGAGGAGUCAACAUCAGGGAAUUGGUGAUUGUCAAAGAGUGGGUAGCAGGAGAGCGUGUCAGCAAUGUGAUGGCUCUUGCCUGGAAUCCAUUGGGUCUCAAACGUGUACCCAGACAGCUUGAUCAGGAUCCGCUGAAGACGUGGAUUGUCCAUGGAGGCCAGAUUGGAUCGCUUGAAAAUACCAAGAAGAGGCUUAUGAUCAGUGAUUACGGUGAAUGGCAUUCCAAGCAGUUUCAGCAUCAGAUAAGUAUGUGGAGCCGCAUUGAAUCAACUUAGAUUGACCGUUGGGACAAGUCUGAAGAAGAGCGUACCCAAGGCCUUUUAGACGGGAGGCGUCGGUAAGGAGUAAUGUUGGCAAAGAGGGAUCAAAGUGGGCGAGAACAGGACCUUGAGGAUUGGAGAGCCCGGAGUGGUUGGGAUGCGUGGGCCAAAUCAGGAAUGAACUGCCCGAGUUGAUUGGCCAAUCCCAGGAACGACCGGAGGUCUGUGAUGUUGGUUGGGACCAGAAAUUCAGAAAUUGAUGCUAUUUUGGCAGGAUCAGGACGAACGCCAUCUGCGCCAAUUAUGAACCCAGCAAAUUUCACUGCCGAGCCAACUUGUGCUUUCGUCUUGGAUAAGGUGAUGCCAUGUUGCUGACAUCGUAAAAGCACGGCCUCUGUUUUUGUCAGGAGAUCCUCGCAGGAGUUGCCACAGACAAGAAUGUCAUCGACAAUCUUUCGAACUCCUACAAGACCAGACAGGGCUUGAUCUCCUCGUGCGCAAAAUUCGUCACCCAAAGCGUUAAGUCCCAUGGGUGCUCGGCAAUAACAAAAGCGGCCAAAGGGCGUAAGAAACGUCAUCAGAUGCCUGGAUGGCUUGUCAAGUUCCACCUGCCAGUAACCCUAAACCGCGUCCAUGACGACAAACCAUCUGGAUGAAGGAGGAAUCGAGGUUGAAAUGUCCAUGGCAGAAGAGAAUGGAUGGACCGGACGUUUGACAUACUUGUUGAGUGACGUGAAGUCAAGUACGAUCCAUUCGAUUUUGGGAUCACAAGACUUGGGCUGACCCAAUCAGAAGGAUCAAAAACACGUUCAAUGAUGCCUGACGUGCCCAUCAAGUUUAAUUCCUUCUCCGUUUUUCUGCUGUACGCAUAGGGAAUGCUCCUAGUUACAUUGACGUGAGUGGGCUUGAUAGGGAUAUCGUCUCUAAGGUGAAUGGUCAUAGCUGUACCUCUCAUCGGUUUGAGUACCUCAGAUGCCUCGAAAACGGAGGAGAAUUUGUCCAUGAGACGAUGGAUCUUCUCUUGGACCAUAUCCUCUGAGGGUUUGGAAGAAGCAGAACGAACUUCAACCUUGGUGACAGACGGAACAUCUUCAGGAAGAUAUGGGAAUGUUGGAGGUAACAUCCUAAGAUCGAUCAUCAAAUGCCAUGAAAGAAGGACCUGGUCAUGGAUAUGUGGCGUGGCAUAUGCCCAGAUCGUUGUGGAAUAUUUCCUCAGAUGAGUAAUCUCAAGGUGUACUGCCCCAUGGCACUCCAUUUUUGUAUUAUUGCCAGCGCGAAUUGAACGUUUUUGAGACUUGUCCACUUCUAUCCCAUAGGUUUGAACCAGAUCUGCAGAGAUCAAAGUCUCCGUUGCUCCAGUAUCCGGGAGUAUAACCAUCUGGAAUGGGGUCCCAGUUCGUGGGCAAAUGUCCACAGAUACAGUAGGAGUAGGACGUGCCUUGACCAUCUUGACAUGAAUUGAUGAAGAAUUAAUGAUCUUGGAAUUACCAGGGGUUCGACCACGGGAUUUCGAGCGACCACGCCAUGUUUCCGCCCCUGCAGACGGCAGCGAAAUGCCCUGUCUUCUCACACGUAUGGCAGACUGUGUCCUUGGCUGGACAAUGUUCGCGGGUAGGACCACCAGGAUGUGUAGAUUUACCGCAACCCAAGCAUUCAUACGAGGAAGAAGUGGCCGCAAUGGUGGCAGACGAAUGACUUGAACUCGCGGACUCGACAGCAUUGGCGGAUUCCCAAGCCAUAGCUAUACGAUGGAGGGUCUCACAAGAAGGAUCUUGCUGAUGAAGAAAUUCUUCCCGUAAUUGCCGAUCUGAACUGCCUGUGACCAGGCGGAGAACGUACAGUUCAUCUUCUCCAAUGGAUGAUAAUUCUGCCUCCUAGCCCUCGAUCUGUAGGUGGAGAUGCCAAUCAGUGAACUUCUCACCUGGACGUUGAUCACAAUGGAAAAAGUUGUAUCACCUAGUGAGCAGAGGGAUGUGUUCGAUGAAAAUCUCAUGGAGUUUGGCAAUGCAACCAUCCUCGCCAAGGACGGGAGUGUCGUCUCGAGAUUUCGUCAUAAGGAUCUGCUGGAGCUUUAAAUCCAGGCAUGAUUGAAGGUAUCCAUGCUGUUCGGUGAUGGGAAAAUUCUCCAUAUGGUUCGAUGAAUAGAAUAAGGGCAACAUUGAUUCUAGAGGACCGAGGAUUCAAAUCAGAGGGUGGUGAGACGUGUUGUGUGGUCGAAAUGCGGACCUGAGUGCGGAUAUGUGUGGAAGAGAGCAGAAUCUUCUCGCGGAGCUUGCAUACGUUGUUGGAGAACUGAGUGAGCAAGGAAUUCUCCUUGACGAUGGCAACCUCGUCCAAGGAUGCAGAACAUGCGUUGAACGACGAGUCCAAAUCGGUCAAGGCAGUCUCCGAUUCGGCCAACUAUGGACAAAUCCAGUCCGGAGUCGUCCAAAGCACUCACGUCGGAAACAAAUGUUUUGCAAGCGUUGAGGCGACGGGUAAAGACGCCCUUGUUGGCCGUCAACGAUUUCUUGGCAGCUUCCAUGACCGGGAUGAUAUCGCAAUGUGGAUGUGUAAUGAAUAUGGGUGAAGCCAAUGAUGGGGAGACCCAAGAGGAAAAACAACCGCGGAAGGUGUGUCAAGCCUGAAGGAGGAGCACAAUUGGAUGCGGCGGUGACCUGGGAACGUUACGGAUGAUGGUUCCACUAAGCCGACUGCGCCAUGUUGGGAUAUCAUGGACAGCGUCAAGGCAAACGUGUAUAUUGUCUCCAAUUAGAAACGAUCCCAAAGUCUUUCGAGUUCUUGGCCAUUAGUGAACCCACUCAUGAUUUAACCAUUUCGACACUCAGUGGCCAUCACUUCAAACAGCAAGGGAGAAUGGCUAAUGGUCUGCUUAUCCAGGGG